GGCCAUGGAGAUGGGAGGCUGCCCCACGACAGACAACGGUAAAUGUUGGCCCCAGAGAAAUGGAAUGAAAUGGUGAGGAAGUCUGUGCUUAGAGAGGUUAAGCUGUGCCUGAGUUCACAUGGCAAGUACCACAGGUGUGGUGGAAACCCUGAAGCCCUUACCCAUGCCACGAAAUAAAGGAUGAAGCUGCUGAAUUUGAA